AGUGAACGCUGGCGGUAGGCCUAACACAUGCAAGUCGAACGGCAGCACCGUAAGAGCUUGCUCUUACGGGUGGCGAGUGGCGGACGGGUGAGGAAUACAUCGGAAUCUACUUUUUCGUGGGGGAUAACGUGGGGAAACUUACGCUAAUAUCGCAUACGACCUACGGUUGAAAGCAGGGGAUCUUCGGACCUUGCGCGAUUGAAUGAGCCGAUGUGGGAUUAGCUAGUUGGCGGGGUAAAGGCCCACUGAGGCGCCGAUCCGUAGCUGGUCUGGGAGGAGGAUGCCCCACUCAGAAACUGAGACACGACCCAGGGACCUACGGAAGGCAGAGAUGGCGAAGGUAGGCAGAUGGGGGCAAGCCUGAACAAGCGGUGCCAGGUGGAUGAAGAAGGCCUGCGGGUGGUAAAGCCCUUUUGUUGGGAAAAAAAAGCUGCAGGUUAAAACCACGCUGUUCGAACGGUACCGAAAGAAUAGGCACCGGCUAAUUUCGU
rnacentral:rRNA from 1 species